rnacentral:rRNA from 1 species
UUUUACCAGAAGUAGGUAGCUUAACCGCAAGGAGGGCGCUUACCACGGUAGGAUUCGUGACUGGGGUGAAGUCGUAACAAGGUAGCCGUAUCGGAAGGUGCGGCUGGAUCACCUCCUUUCUAG